rnacentral:rRNA from 1 species
CCAGUACCGUGAGGGAAAGGUGAAAAGCACCCCGGAAGGGGAGUGAAAUAGAACCUGAAACCGUGUGCUUACAAGUAGUCAGAGCCCGUUAAUGGGUGAUGGCGUGCCUUUUGUAGAAUGAACCGGCGAGUUACGAUUUGAUGCAAGGUUAAGCAGUAAAUGUGGAGCCGUAGCGAAAGCGAGUCUGAAUAGGGCGUUUAGUAUUUGGUCGUAGACCCGAAACCAGGUGAUCUACCCUUGGUCAGGUUGAAGUUCAGGUAACACUGAAUGGAGGACCGAACCGACUUACGUUGAAAAGUGAGCGGAUGAACUGAGGGUAGCGGAGAAAUUCCAAUCGAACCUGGAGAUAGCUGGUUCUCUCCGAAAUAGCUUUAGGGCUAGCCUCAAGUGAUGAUUAUUGGAGGUAGAGCACUGUUUGGACGAGGGGCCCCUCUCGGGUUACCGAAUUCAGACAAACUCCGAAUGCCAAUUAAUUUAACUUGGGAGUCAGAACAUGGGUGAUAAGGUCCGUGUUCGAAAGGGAAACAGCCCAGACCACCAGCUAAGGUCCCAAAAUAUAUGUUAAGUGGAAAAGGAUGUGGCGUUGCCCAGACAACUAGGAUGUUGGCUUAGAAGCAGCCAUCAUUUAAAGAGUGCGUAAUAGCUCACUAGUCGAGUGACACUGCGCCGA